rnacentral:tRNA from 1 species
AGCUCAGUGGUAGAGCUCCCGCCUCUUAUGCGGGAAGAGCUGGGUUCAAUUCCCGA